CUAUCUAUCGACUUAUAAUAAAAAAAACAAAAUCGGUAUAUUAGUUUAUCAGGUACUUGUCAACUAGUUGUAACUAGUUUCGCUGAUAACAUUGUACCACUGAUUACCACAAGUGUCCUAAUUUCGACUGUGAAAGGAUUGUCUAACUAACAUGUGGCACAGCCUUUUGCUUGGAUUGUUGUUGGCACUUGUCAAUGCCGAAAAUGAUGUUUCAGACUGUUAUCUACCAAAGACUAUCGGACCAUGUGAAGCGCUGAUACCGUCAUAUUACUACAACCCAGGGAGCGGUCAUUGCGAACAUUUUAACUAUGGCGGCUGUAUGGGCAACGCAAAUCGGUUUUCGCACCUACAGGACUGCAUUAUGAAAUGUCAGAGACAAAUCAACAUACUUAAAUUAAUUAAUUAAUUAAUUAAUUAAAUUAAAAUAAAAUAAAAUAUUCAAAUUUA